GAUGAACGCUGGCGGCGUGCCUAAUACAUGCAAGUCGAGCGAACAGACGCGGCGCUUGCUCCUCUGACGUUAGCGGCGGACGGGUGAGUAACACGUGGAUCACCUACCUAUAAGACUGGGAUAACUUCGGGAAACCGGAGCUAAUACCGGAUAAUAUAUUGAACCGCAUGGUUCAAUAGUGAAAGACGGUUUUGCUGUCACUUAUAGAUGGAUCCGCGCCGCAUUAGCUAGUUGGUAAGGUAACGGCUUACCAAGGCAACGAUGCGUAGCCGACCUGAGAGGGGGAUCGGCCACACUGGAACUGAGACACGGACCAGACUCCUGCGGGAGGCAGCAGUAGGGAAUCUGCCGCAAUAGGCGAAAGCCUGACGGAGCAACGCCGCGUGAGUGAUGAAGGUCUUCGGAGCGUAAAACUCGGUUAUUAGUGAAGAACAAAUGUGUAAGGAACUAUGCACGUCGUGACGGUACCUAAUCAGAAAGCAACGGCUAACUACGUG
rnacentral:rRNA from 1 species